UACGUAGGGGGCAAGCGUUGUCCGGAUUUAUUGGGCGUAAAGAGCGUGUAGGCGGCCUGGAAGGUCAGCUGUGAAAACUCGAGGCUCAACCUCGAGACGUCGGUUGAAACCACCUGGCUAGAGUCCGGAAGAGGAGAGUGGAAUUCCUGGUGUAGCGGUGAAAUGCGCAGAUAUCAGGCAAGAACACCCGUGGCUAAGGCGGCUCACUGGCCCGGUACUGACGCUGAUGUGCGGAAAGCGUGGGGGAGCAAACAAGG
rnacentral:rRNA from 1 species